AGGCGGUCCUGGAACUCGAUUCCCCCGUCAAAUUGCGCCGCGCCGAGCGCAAGAAAGAGCCCCCCAAGGUGGUACC
rnacentral:tRNA from 1 species